rnacentral:rRNA from 1 species
UACGUAGGGGGCAAGCGUUGUCCGGAUUUAUUGGGCGUAAAGAGCUCGUAGGCGGUUUGGUAAGUCAGGUGUGAAAUCUCCACGCUCAACGUGGAGGGGCCACCUGAUACUGCCAUGACUGGAGUCCGGUAGAGGAGUGUGGAAUUCCCGGUGUAGCGGUGAAAUGCGCAGAUAUCGGGAGGAACACCCGUAGCGAAGGCGGCUCUCUGGGACGGUACUGACGCUGAGACGCGAAAGCGUGGGGAGCGAACAGG